rnacentral:rRNA from 1 species
AUACGGAGGGUGCAAGCGUUACUCGGAAUCACUGGGCGUAAAGCGCGCGCAGGCGGGCUGAUAAGUUGGAUGUGAAAGCCUACGGCUCAACCGUAGAAUUGCAUCCAAAACUGUCAGUCUAGAGUGUGGGAGAGGAAGAUGGAAUUAGUUGUGUAGGGGUAAAAUCCGUAGAGAUAACUAGGAAUACCAAAAGCGAAGGCAAUCUUCUGGAACACUACUGACGCUGAGGCGCGAAGGCGUGGGGAGCAAACAGGAUUAGAUACCCUAGUAGUCC